CCCCCCCCCCCCCCACCCCUAAAUAGUUUUUGAACCUUUUAAAAAAAUACAAAAAGGAGAAAAAGGAAGGGGGGUCAAGUUAAAGGGGGUCUGUGACCCAGCCAGGACGGGAUAGAUCCUAUAUAUCACUACAUGACCUGUGACCCGGAAGAGGAAGUUGGGUGUGUCUGUGUGUGUGUGUGUGUGUGUGUGUGUGUGUGUUUCUGGCACCUUUGGUCUGGAGCGUACAGGACUGGAAGCUGGGGGGAGGGGAGGGGAGGGGAGGGGGGGGGGGGGGGGGGGGGAGGUUCGGCCAAGCUGUGCAACGCCAGAGUCGAACAAACGUCGAAGAAUGGGGAAUGAAAUAAGUAACGACAUCCAGAACACGCAAGGAAGAGGUGGAGGGUAAAAUGGCGGACUCAGAAUAAAUAUUUGGAGUUUAUUUUCUGUUGUUUGUUUCGUUUUCUUUUUUCUUUUUUAACCUUGUCCGUUUUAGAUGGGUGACUGAAAAGCAUUAGUGUGCGGGAUUGUUAUGUUUAUGCCUGUGUGUGUGUGUGUGUGUGUGUGUGUGUGUGUGUGUUUAUCCAUUGUUUUGUUUUUUAAAGAAAGUGUUAACCUGUUGCAGUAUGCAUCUGUAAUGCGUCACGUGGUUGGCAACACUCUGUGUCCCGGUGAGUAUGAGGGUCUAUGUAUGUAGAUACGUGCGUGAGUGUGCGUGCAUGCUGGGGUGACUUAACUUUCUCAGUGUAUUUCCCAGCCCCCCCCCCAUCUCCCCGUAUGAUUUCCUAGCUUGUGUUAAACGAGUGCAGCUGUCGGGCUUGGGUUAGGUUGGGGGGGGGGGGGGGGGGGGGGGGUUGUUGGUCAUGUGAUCCCGGCCGAACACGCUCAUGCCAGUAAAGAUAUGCAUGCAUCUAUUUGAACGGUGGGAGAGUGGAUGACUUAAGGGGAAGUAUCUACAUAUGUUUUAAUGUACACAAAGGACAACCAACGCAGCCCUGAGUCGUGUGUGUGUGUGUGUGUGUGUGUGUGUGUGUGUGUGUGUGUGUGUGUGUGUGUGUGUGUGUGUGUGUGUGUGUGUGUGUGUGUGUGUGUGUGUGUGUGUGUGUGUGUGUGUGUGUGUGUGUGUGUGUCCAGGCUGCGCCGUAUGUGCUGCUCUGGCUUCGCCUGACUCUGCGGUGGCGUCCUGCUCAUAUUGUCUCUCAGUAAGCCCCCUCCGCUCUCUAAAGCCCCCGUAGGAGUGCGGGUGGGCGGGUUCUCUUAUUGUAGUUCGGUUGUUUUCUCCCCGAUUGGUCCCUUUUUUUUUUGUUUUGUUUUUAAAGCUUCAAAAUGCACUGCCAGCUCACUGCAGCAAUCCCUAGCAGAGGUAAAACUAAAUCUGCCGUUUUAGGGUUAGAUUUUCGAAAGGCGUAGAGAAGUGUGCCCUGGUGAUUGGUUCCAUCUGAUUUAUUAUUCUGUUGCUCCUGUUGCAAGUGCCACUCAACCAACCCCCCCCCCCCCCCCUCCUCCAUACUUAGUGUUCCUCUAGGUCAUAUUUCGUAGUUUUGUCUUCAUUUUUGUUUUUAUUCCCUCUUAGUUUCGUGGUUGAAAGGACGGCAGUCCGAGCGAUCGCCUCCACGGCGGCCUCCUUGUUUCCCUGGGAGGACACUCUGCUAACGGUUAACUGCUAAUGAUCCUCGAGGCCAACACGCUGGCUCAACAGAUGCGCCCGGGCGCCCAGUCUCAGACCUACGUCGGCUAUGGGAGAGAGUUAACAUUUGCAAUUCGCUGUAUAUUUUUUGCAAAGUAAUCAUGAACAAAAGGCAGUCGCACUUGUGUUGGCUAUUGCAGUUAACGUGUAUGUGUCCGAGUUCGCACUAAAAUGCACUAACUGGGGAGCCUUCCUCCAAUAGGGUGUGGGCCCCCUUUACGUGACAAUGCCAAUAGAUUGAAUUCCUCAUUUAUUUUCCAAUUGUCUUUGUUUCCCCGUUGUACGCGCGUGAAUGACGAUUGGUGCUGUAGUAUGCAGUUGCGGGACAAUCAAUGUUGUUGUUUUUUGGACAGGAAAUGUGUGUUCAGGACCCACUAAGGAUGCAGUAGGUUCCUUUUUGACACGGCGUUCUGCAGGAAAUGCUUCACCUCGCUUUGGCCCACCUCUUAGAUACCGUGGUAGAUUAGGACGGUCUGAGCCCGCUGCUGAUUGAUAAACCGUGGGAUUAACCUUCCCCUAUAGGAAGCUCAGGCAUGGCAUUUUCUUGUUGAAGAUGUAUAGCCUAGUGAAAGGCAGUAUCGAGAGCCCUGCCGCUCUUGGGUCCCUGGCAUGCUAGCGGGACACAAAGAGGUGUUAGGUGCAGGCCUAUCGUUUUUCAGGGCAGUACUAGUAGGCUUUCGGCCCUGGGUGGUCUGGGGUUCUUAGUGGAGGCUGUGGCCUCGCUCGAGACCCUGGUCUCCGCACCGUGUUCUUCCGGCCUACAUAGGCUGGACGGAUGGCGUGUUUCUGUUGUCGUGUCAAUGCAGAACCUCUGCUGCCUGCUACGCAUUCACAGCAACACUUAUACUCAACACAGUUGUUCAAGGCUUGCAUAUGCGGUCGGUCUGGGCGUGGUCUUUCAGCAAGGAAUUGCCUCUUUUUGCGGACCCCAUCAAUGCAAAAGUAGGGGCUUUUGCAUUGCUGUCUCGGGAGUUCUCGGAUUAACUAAAUUGAGUAAGGUUUAAAUUGUGUGUCCAAAUAUCAGCCCAAAAGCGUGGAUUUUCAGAUGAAAUACUUUCCCCCUCGUCUCUGAAAAUCCGCAACCGCAACCUGAUUAUGCCGUACCACGGUACCAGGUGUUGAAUGACCCUUAUUUAUAAUCACGUACAAAAGCAGUGUUGAGCAGGAGACGGCAGAGAAGGAAUUGCAGAAUAAAUUUUUUGAAGCAGUCUAACCUCUCAUCGUGGUUGUGUUGUAGGCCUUUUUGUGUGUGUGUGUGUGUGUGUGUGUGUGUGUGUGUGUGUGUGUGUGUGUGUGUAAAUCAGACCUAUUUUAACUUUAUCUUUCUCUAUUUACUUUUAAUUUGCCAACCUCAGUAAAAGCGUCAAGUACAUAAAUAAUUUGACCUGUUAGUCCAGUCAUCCAAAUGUUAGAAUUUCAACUGACAGACUUUAUUUUUUUAGGCUUGUUGUUGGAAGUCGAUGCACUUUGAUCCUGUCUACAUUUCCCAUCAAGCACCCUGUCCAAAACAACAUGAAAUGUUCAACAUUGAUGUUUAUAGCGGGAUGCUUUUGACACACUGUGAAAUGGUUUUAUUACCUCAAGACGAGUUUAAAAGAUGGCAUUUUAUCCACCUAAAGUAAAAUAUUAAAUAAAACUGGUCAAAUUAGUUUUACCUCAUUAAGCUGUGGUCAAUGACCAUAGCUUGAAACCCAUACAGUAGGUGCAUGGUGUGGACUGAAAGGCAGAGUGGAUGUUUACUGACCAGCCCAUUGAAACCAUUGAACAACUCAAAAGAAAGAUUAGUUAACCUUUUUUAAUACGUGAUUUUUUUAUUCUUUGUGUCUUGGUUGUAUUGAGCCCUCCUUUUUGUAAGGCUUGAAAAGGGGUUUUGGUUUAUAUUGCUGUGGAUUAUAUUCCUCCAGCAAUGAGGUUUGAUUGAGAAGAUUUCCAGAAGAUGUAUAAUUUCAGCAUUGGUCAUUUCAAAGCGUUUCCUUUUCAAAAGUUCACGGCGUCAUUGAUCCGACUCUUCCUCAGUUUCACGGUGGUUUCCAUCCUAGCUUUUUUCCCCAUUUUGUUUCCUUCCCCGCUGCUCUUUGUAACCCCCGAGACCCAACCGCUUCCUCGCUCAGUGCAUUUAAAUAAUUUGAAUAUCGCCUAUUUUACCAAAAGUUGUGUUGUUGGUUAGCCAUUAAGAGCGAGUUAUCAGAAUAUAUAUAUUAAUAUAUAUGAAUUUGAGUGUCCACCCAAAUGCUAAACAAGGGGUCCUUUUAAUGAGGAAGUGAGUUGGCACUGUGUGUUUCAUGAGUUCAGUCACGCUUUUAUUUUGGUAGCAAAAAUUUGAAACUCUUCUAGUGUCACGAAUGGUUUAUAGCAUUGGGUGCACACUGUCCAUUAAAAGAAAAUAUAUACGCCCGAAGCUAGGUGUGCCAGCGUUGCAUUCAGACAAACAAGGGUUCAACACAUUGAAGGGGUUUUAAGGCACGUUUUGUUUAUGACCUACAGCCUUCUUCUUCAGUCAUUUCAGUUGUAAUCUCUGACCUGCACGUUUCACCGUCUGCUAUUGGCAUUAAACAACUACCGCGCCUGAUCGGUGGACUGGGAUAAGACCAGUUUGGUGUUUGUAACCACUCUGACCCCAUGUAGGAAAACAGCCGUUUCUCUAUCUCAGAUGGCCAGGAAUAAGUUUUGUCUACGAUCUGCACUUGUUUUCAGAGACGUUUUUUUGAUACAGUUUUAUCUCGGCCUUCGUCUGGAUGAUGAAAACGUGACGCUAUGAUGACAGAGGCUAGCUCGCCUUGCGAGUGUGUGUGCGUGUGUGUGUGUGUCUGUGUGUGCCUGUGAGUGGGUGCGUAUUAGGGGGGGGGGGGGGCUUAAGUAAAGGUUUGUAUUUUCUUUUGUGCAUGUUUUAGUUUUCUGUGUUUGUUUCCCAUGCCGCUGCGAUUCAUUUUGAUCUGAAGGUUUUCCAGCAACAGGUUUAUUUAAUGUGGAAAGAACACAGAAAUAAAUUAUUUCAUUUUUUUCUAUUGUCAA